UAUCAUAUUAAUGUAUUAAGACAUUAAGUGAGGAAGUAAAGUUGCAUUCACAGGCCUUGAACUUUUCCACAUCUCGAUUUUUACCCAUCAUCUCUGCAUAGUUCCCUAAGGCAGCCUUCAAAUGGUGAUGUUUCUUAUAAUCCAGAGUUCAGAAGUGGCUUCUCUUCAAUCUUUCUGUGGAAUUCUAAACCACGUGAUAAAGGAGCUGGUGCUGUCCUGGGUGGCAUGAGAACCAUGGGCUGAGGAUUGGACAAGCUUGCUCUACAAUAUUCACAGAGCCAGAUUUCCUUCUGCACCAGAGCCUGUGGAAGCGCCACAGUGGAAGCAGCAGAGACUGGAAGAGCAGGCCACAGAUCAGCCCUGGGGUUCAGAGGGAUCCUGACAGCUACUCCUCAAGAUCCUCUCUGUUGUGAUUCAUCCCCCCGGGGCCCUACAGUUUCUCCUUCCUGACUCUUACAUUUCUUUGGAUGGCAUCAUUAUUUACCUGUCUCCUCCCAUAGUUAGGUGCCAAGCACUGUGGAUUCUGCCUCUCAGUGUCCAGACA
rnacentral:lncRNA from 10 species